AGCGAACGCUGGCGGCAGGCUUAACACAUGCAAGUCGAGCGGGCAUCUUCGGAUGUCAGCGGCAGACGGGUGAGUAACACGUGGGAACGUACCCUUCGGUUCGGAACAACUCUGGGAAACUGGAGCUAAUACCGGAUACGCCCUCAUGGGGAAAGGUUUACUGCCGAAGGAUCGGCCCGCGUCUGAUUAGCUAGUUGGUGGGGUAACGGCCUACCAAGGCGACGAUCAGUGGCUGGUCUGAGAGGAGGAUCAGCCGCACUGGGGCUGCGACACGGCCCCGACUCCUACGGGAGGCAGCAGUGGGGAGUAUUGGACAAUGGGCGCAAGCCUGAUCCAGCCAUGCCGCGUGAGUGAUGAAGGCCUUAGGGUUGUAAAGCUCUUUUGUCCGGGACGAUAAUGACGGUACCGGAAGAAUAAGCCCCGGCUAACUUCGUG
rnacentral:rRNA from 1 species